GACGAACGCUGGCGGCGUGCUUAACACAUGCAAGUCGAACGGAAAGGCCCUGCUUUUGUGGGGUGCUCGAGUGGCGAACGGGUGAGUAACACGUGAGUAACCUGCCCUUGACUUUGGGAUAACUUCAGGAAACUGGGGCUAAUACCGGAUAGGAGCUCCUGCUGCAUGGUGGGGGUUGGAAAGUUUCGGCGGUUGGGGAUGGACUCGCCGCUUAUCAGCUUGUUGGUGGGGUAGUGGAUUACCAAGGCUUGGAGAGGUAGCAUGGCUGGGAGGGUGAGCGGACCAGCUAGAACUGAGCUAAGGCCCAGACUACUACGGUAGGCAGCGGUGGAGAAUAUUGCACAAUGGGAGGAAGGAUGAUGUAGCACAGCCGCGUGGGGGAUGACGGCCAUCGGGUAGUAAAGCAAUUUCGCCUGAGACGAAGCGUGAGUGACGGUAACGGGUAAAGAAGCACCGGCUAACUCCGUG
rnacentral:rRNA from 1 species